UUGGGUCGGCCCCGCAUAGAACACACGAGAGCUGACGGAGUUAGACCACUGGGACAGAGCGGAAAGGGGCACUGAAUUGAGGCGGGUGCGUCCUGGGAGGAUACGGAAGCGGCCACCGCCGUGGCUGCCGAAGAGGUUUUCCCGGUAGAUUAGGUUGCCCAUCUUUCCCGACGGCGGCGUGGCGUCGGGUGGGUCCGUCCAGGAUGAGAUUAGCGAGGGUCCGGCUGGCGCCGUGCUGGGGUACCUGGUUCUUCUGUUGUUGGUCAAGAUAACUGCGGCCAGCCAUCGGGAGAAGGUAGAAUCGAUAGCGCUCCAGCGGAGUCCGACGAGUCAGCAAUAAAGCCUGAUCCGAAGGCAGCCGACUGGAUAAGAAGUGGUGCAGGGUCCGUGUGGGCGCAAAUCCUAUAGAGCGAACACCAUGCCCAGGAAGGAUGGGGGUGCUAGAGAAGACAAUCAGGGGUUUUGCAGACAGAGACAGAGAGGAGGUUGUGAAGCUAGAAUUGGGUACAUCCUUCGACUCGUUGACAGAGGCUUAUGAUUUUUACAAUUUAUAUUCGUGGGAGCAUGGUUUUGGGAUUAGAUAUGGGAAAAGUCGGCUGAAUCCAGACAAAAGGAAGACCAUACAGGAGAUCGUCUGUGGAUGCUCGGUACAAGCACUAGCCAUUAUGUGAUCUUCUGUGGGUAGAAUUAAUAUGCUUUUCCGCUAAAGGAUGAACUGGUCUGUUUUUUUAAAUGAUGUGGAACAGGGGAAGCCCUUGCAGGAGAACACACGAUCCUGUAGGUGUGAGUGUCCGGCAAUGAUUAGGCUUUUGUGGGCAUCCGAUCAGGUAGAAAAAGAUGCAUUGUACAAAGGGACACAUACUAGGCCUGAUAAAUGGGAGAAAUGGAGAAGAGUUGUUUUCCUGGUGAGAAUGCAUGACAAUGGUGAACACUUUGAGUGCGAGUGUGGGCUGUCUGUACACAUGCCCAUGUACUCAAGGUUGUUGACUAUACUUUGCAUUUCAGAUCAGAUCACAAAGCCGAUGUUUGUAAAAACCCCAAUUUGUUGACAAAAAUAUUCAUGCGUUCCAGGUGAUGGAUUAUCCUGGGAUUACUGAGAUACCAAAAAAAGCAUAUAGUAAAAAGAUGGACAAAAGAGGCUCGUGACAUACUACCAGAACACCUGCAACACUACCAGCGAGAUAACAUUGGUGCGACCACAUUGACAUUCAGGCAUAACCGAAUGUAUGUUCAGGCGCUGGAGUUGGUGAGGCUGGGGGAUGCUAGUGUGAAAGCUUACGAAACUCUGAUGGCUCUGUUCAAUCAAGCACUGGUCCUGAUGGGACCAAUUGAUAUGGCGAGAGAUGGCCUAGGACUCGAAGAUCGCAUGAACAACAAUGGUCAGCGAAAUGGAGACGAGGUUAAGUUCAGUGCAUUGAAGAUCAGGAAGACAUGAUUUCUAGGCACAACAGUUCGCUUGUCGAGUUGGCGCCUCCCAGUAAGAAGAGGAAGGAAGGGAGGCUGACGAACAGUAGAGACAAAGCUCCGUACGAGGGGAUGACAAAGAGGAGUCGGUUCUGCAGCAUCUGCAAGACUAAGGGGCACAAGCGCACGACUUGCCCGCAACGAGGUGAUGCCCCAAAAAUGCCUAGAAAAGAAGCAAAGUGCAGCAACUGCGACGUCAUCGGGCAUAGGAAGAACACAUGCGGCAGAGCUGCUGGCCAAGGUGCUGAUGGUGAUGUGGUGUAGAUUUAACCCAGAAUUUCUGUUGUAACAAAACUUGUAAAAAUGUUGCUUUGUGUUCCUAGCCAACAAGCUGGCCAGCUCGC